rnacentral:rRNA from 1 species
UAGGGAAUCUUCAGCAAUGGACGCAAGUCUGACGGAGCAACGCCGCGUGAGUGAAGAAGGAUUUCGGUUCGUAAAACUCUGUUGUUAGAGAAGAACAGCGCAUAGAGGAACUGUUAUGCGUGUGACGGAAGCUAACAAGAAAGCCACGGCUAACUACGUGCCAGCAGCCGCGGGAAUACGUAGGUGGCAAGCGUUGUCCGGAUUUAUUGGGCGUAAAGCGAGCGCAGGCGGUCAAUUAAGUCUGAUGUGAAAGCCCCGGGCUCAACCGGGGAGGGUCAUUUGAACCUGGUUGACUUGAGUGCAGAAGAGGAGAUUGGAAUUCCCUUUGUAGCGUUGAAUUCCGUUGUUUUAUGGGGGAACACCCGUGGCAAAGGCGUCUCUCUUGUCUGUAACUGCCGCUGAGUCUCGAAAGCGUGGGUAGCAACCAGG